rnacentral:lncRNA from 1 species
AAUGAAAUGACUGAUAAGAUGCAUCAAUAAGACUGAUGUUACUGUUAUCACGGUACUCUUAGUUGAUGUUGCCUGGACUUAUCCAGACCCCAGCAUCUAGGUCCUUAAAAUUCCUAGUCCUUGGUGACAGCAAAAGCCUGAAACCAAAAGGGAUGGGACUACCAACUGGUAUAUGCAAAGUUCUCUCAACUCUCUUAAAAGCUAGAAUCUUGAGGUAGUGGUUGCAGAAAAUGGCCAAAAGCCAUUUACUUUUCUAACCCACUACUCUUUCUUGGUGCUUUCAGUGGUCCUAAACAGAGGUAAAUAGGCAAAUCGUAGUGGAUAGAAAGGGACCAUAUCUGCUAGAUAUUCUCUGUCUAGAGGCCUGAGGGUAAGAAAUUCCACAACUCUACACCAUGGUUGCUUAUUUUAAUUUUUUCUUUUUUCCCUUUCUAAUCCAGAGCUUUUCUACUUGUAGGAGAAUGUGACAGAUUUAUUACGAUAAAUUUGCACUUGCUGUAAUUAACAUUUAAUGAGGAGAAAUAGAGAAGCAAGAAGUACAUACCUCUCCAUAACGAUUGCCCCGAAUGAGAUAAAGUAAAGAGAAAGAUAACCAGACCAACAGUAAGACCCCCAAUUUCUGCCAUGGAAAUCCCAAUUUUUUUUCCACUUCUAUACCCAAAAGAGCCUCUUUGUUAUUCUCUACCACUUCGCUCGUAAUUCUAUACCUAUCUUUAACCAAUGAACCUUCCAAAUUUUCAUAGCCAUUUCUCUUCACCUCUUCUGAUUCCAUCUUCCAGUGCAGAACCCCAUUCUUGAAAGUCUUGAAAGUAGACCAGACAAGAAAAACAACAAACAAAAUUGUAAUAAGCCACUCUGGGAAAACUAAAUUACAAAUUACUCCAAUACCAACUCCCAGUAACAUGCAUGGCUCUGACAGAAGUGUAAUAUCAAAAAUCAAAGCUUCACCGCCAAAUUUAGGACUAAACAGGUUACACAUGACAUUAGCUAUAGACCCUCCAGUGACCAUAAAAGCUGAGAAACUUGAAGCUGUUUUGAGGUCUAGACCUGCCACUAUAGUAAGUAUAGGAAUAAAUAAACCUCCGCCACCAAUGCCACCUGCACUAGAUAUAGAAGCAGCUAUAAAGCAUAAAAUUCCUGCUAACACUGUAGGGGGUGCUAGUUUCAGUGUUGAUUCUUGGGAUUGAAUCUGAUGAUGUCUCCAGUGAGCAACUUUGUUGAGAAACUGAUCAGUUUUGAGAAUAGUGAACAAGGGUUGUGUUUGUUCAGCAUUAGAUUGGCAAAAAGUGAUCAAAAUGGCAAGGGAGAGAGCCAGGCCUGGUAAGAUACUGAGAGUCUUCAUUUGGUUAAAGCUUUGGUGAUGUGUUGUGGUGUGUCAACAAUGAGUUGCCUAGGUGUCUUUAUAUGAGGAAGAAGGAUCUGAUGUUGCAUGGCAUUAGUGAAGAAAAGACAACACAAUAUGAUAAAAGAGACUAUUUUUAAAUGAAUUUUUCUGCUAUUACCUUUAUCUACUGGGCAAUAAGAGACUGGUAAUAUAGCUAACACUUAACAUUAAGCAAUGUAGCUUAUUUGGAAGCUAGUAUUAGAAAUCAGUGGAUGAGCACCAUUCAGCGAUGUGGACAUUAAAUUAUAUUAUAAAUAAAAAGAUCAUUUUUUAAAUAAUGAUAAUUAUUUAAAAUGAAGUAUUG